UACGAAGGGGGCGAGCGUUGUUCGGAUUUACUGGGCGUAAAGGGCGCGCAGGCGGCUCGGCAAGUCGGGUGUGAAACCUCCAGGCUCAACCUGGAGACGCCACUCGAUACUGCUGUGGCUAGAGUCCAGUAGGGGAGCGUGGAAUUCCUGGGUGUAGCGGUGAAAUGCGCAGAUAAUCAGGAGGAACACCAGCGGCGAAGGCGGCGCUCUGGGCUGGAACUGACGCUGAGGAGCGAAAGCGUGGGGAGCAAACAG
rnacentral:rRNA from 1 species